rnacentral:rRNA from 1 species
UACGUAGGGCGCAAGCGUUGUCCGGAAUUAUUGGGCGUAAAGAGCUCGUAGGCGGUCUGUCGCGUCGGAUGUGAAAGCCCGGGGCUUAACCCCGGGUCUGCAUUCGAUACGGGCAGACUAGAGUGCGGUAGGGGAGAUCGGAAUUCCUGGUGUAGCGGUGAAAUGCGCAGAUAUCAGGAGGAACACCGGUGGCGAAGGCGGAUCUCUGGGCCAUUACUGACGCUGAGGAGCGAAAGCGUGGGGAGCGAACAGG